GGUAUAGCUCAAGUGGUAGAGCACAUGCUUAGCACGCAUGAGGUCCUGGGUUCAAUCCCCAGUACC
rnacentral:tRNA from 1 species